GCCGGAGUGGCGGAAUUGGCAGACGCAGCAGACUCAAAAUCUGCCGUUGGCAACAGCGUGAGAGUUCGAGUCUCUCCUCCGGCACCA
rnacentral:tRNA from 4 species